UAUGUGUGUCCAAAUUAUAUGU
rnacentral:miRNA from 1 species